GUCUCUGGAGUAGUUGUUUGCUGCCUGCCGGAGGCAGCUUCUGAAAUCGUGAGGGAUGCUCUCCGAGCAGCUGUGGGCUGGGCUGGCUGAGGCACUUUGAUCCGGUUUUCCAGUUCUUGCACAAGCAAGUUUUUGUCAGCCACGCCCUGGGGAGGAUCCACUGGAUCACCGCCGUCACAGCCUGUUCCCGGUGGCCUCUCCGGCUUCCCUAAAGAGAGCAGCUUCCCUGGAGACCAGAAGCCAGAGCUCACCCUCCCUUGUGUCCAGGUGGGACUUUCUACAACGCUGCUAUGCACGACGCGGAUGCCGUAUGCAUGUUGCUGGGGGAAGCCACUCCGGACACUGUGUUUUCUCUGGGACAUGUCUUCUGCCCAGAUAUGGCCGCCUUAAAAGAUGCAGAUGCUGUUGUGAUCAGCAUGAAGUUUCCCUGUGAGGCUGUGGUCAGCGUGGACAUCAGCCAGCACUGCACAGACAGCUGCGACCAGGACGUCAGCCAGCACUGCACAGACAGCUGCAACCAGGACGUCAGCCAGCACUGCACAGACAGCUGCGACCAGGAUGUCAGCCAGCACUGCACAGACAGCUGCAACCAGAGACUGGAGGGAAAUAACCUCCUGAAAUCACCAAAGAGCAGUUCCUCAGGGCCUCCCGGGUGACCGUGGCUGUGGA
rnacentral:sRNA from 1 species